rnacentral:rRNA from 1 species
UACGUAGGGGUGCGAGCGUUUGUCCGGAAUUAUUGGGGCGUAAAGAGCUCGUAGGCGGUUUGUCGCGUCUGCCGUGAAAGUCCGGGGCUCAACUCCGGAUCUGCGGUGGGGUACGGGCAGACUAGAGUGAUGUAGGGGAGACUGGAAUUCCUGGUGUAGCGGUGAAAUGCGCAGAUAUCAGGAGGAACACCGAUGGCGAAGGCAGGUCUCGUGGGCAGGUAACUGACGCUGAGGAGCGAAAGCGUGGGGAGCGAACGG